UGCUUGGUGGAGCAGUUCGGUAGCUCGUCGGGCUCAUAACCCGAAGGUCGCAGGUUCAAAUCCUGCCCCCGCAACCA
rnacentral:tRNA from 1 species